CUUUGCUGAGCUAGUUGGAACCCUGUAUCAAAAUGGAUAUUAAAUGCCUGAGUUACUCCCAAAAUAUCCACUUUUGUGAUGAUAAUAAUAGAAGUAAAAUAAAAAUAAAAAUAGGCAGCAAAAAGCUGAGAGAAUAUAUGUAACUAAAACCACUAGACAAAUAGUGAGCAAAUAUUUUCUUUAAAAAAAAGAAGAAAAGAUAGUUACCCAUGCAAGGAUCACAUCUAUCUUAAGUGUUUAUGCAGAAGACCAUAGGUAAUGGAUAUAUAUAAAAAUUAAAACCAACAAUUCAAGUUAUCAUUGCAUGAAACUAGCUACAAAAUACAUUAACCAAUAUACCAAGUCUAAGUGCUUAUAAAAGAGAAAUGGAUUACAUAAAUCACAAAUCAAAAGAGGAAUACCAUGCAACACAAAAAUAUAAAAAACAAGUGCAUCUAAAUAGCAAAACCUAUACAUGCUAAGGACCUUUAAAAGAAAGUAUCGAUGGAUUAAAUAAAUUUGUAAAUGUUUGAUAAAAUACCUGAUCAGGUGUCAUAAUUUCCCUAAAUGUAAGAUUUAUACUGACCUAACGUCUUUAGAAUAUUCAUCAGAGAUAUGUGCUCAAAAACCUUGUCAUUAGCAAAUUUAAAUUUCAUGAAGGCUCCUUAUUGAUGGACUAGUUGCCCAGCAGGCUGUCUUAGGCAGAAUAACAUAAUGAAGCAUGCCCAUUGAUGAAUUAAUAAAUGUGAUUAGUGUUUGGUAUAUUAUACAUGGUCAAAUUCACCAAUAUGUUAAUAAUGGACAAAUUUUUCCAUGAAAAAUAUUCAUGAUAGUCAUCAAAUAUUGAUGUGUAUGUAAAAAAACAGAAACUUGCAGAGGUACAGUGCAACAUGUAAAGCCAAUCAGCAGGGCAUGAUAUUCUUUUGAUGACGACGAUGAGGUGCAACCAAUGGUGCAGAAGGUUCACAAGUGCAGCAUCAAAAACUAAACCAAAUAGAAACUACCACAGUUCCUUGAUUGAAAAUCUGUGGACACAGUUUGGAAGUGGAAUGAUAUGAUGCCUAGUGCCUAGUAGGUUAUAGACUCACUAUCACUACAGCUAACAUAGUGUAUUCAACACACCAAAAACCAAAAAACUUUAGAGAAGUUAUAAGGAAUUUUUAUUAGAGUUUAGCAGCACUUUGCAAAUUGCAAUCUAUUAGCAGAUGCAUU
rnacentral:misc_RNA from 1 species